GCCCCCGUAGCUCAGCAGGAUAGAGCAAGGGAUUCCUAAUCCCUGUGUCGCACGUUCAAAUCGUGUCGGGGGCA
rnacentral:tRNA from 1 species